rnacentral:piRNA from 1 species
UGCCCCUGCACAGUGACAUACUUCCUCC